CAGAGCUUCUUCCAGAUGAGCUGGAGACAGCAAAGGAUUUUGGCCAGGCCUUCUUUAAGUUUCCUUGCUGAGCUUUCACUGUGAAGCCAAAUCUGCACUGUUUGGUGUCUGCAGCUUCGUUUCUGGGUCCAGGCAAUGGGAUGGAGAAAGGAUGGGGGUGAUCCAACAGCCAGCAUGGAAGGCUUCUCCCAGCACACCUUAAUUUGAGAUCUCCUGCAUGCAGGAAGCAAUGGAGUUAAGUGACCUUGCUGAAUCCCGACUGCUGCAGCUGCAGGAGAACGGGGAAGGAAAAGAAGAGAGGGGAGGAGGAAGAGGCACUUUGCAGCCUCCCAUUAAAGCCCCAAGAGGCUGAAGAUGAGAGAGUGAAAGUUUCAAAUUGCCAGAAUGUAAUUCUGAAAGUCAUUUUCCAAGCGCAGAGCUCUCCGCAAUGUCACCUCUCAUCUUCCAAGGUGGGGAUAGAAGAAACAAAAAAACACAGAAUGUUCUGCAAAGACAGAGCUGCUAAUACAAAGACAGAAGAGGUGUCAGUCCCCAGACACGCUGUCUCGCACCGCCUUCUUCUGGGAGAUCUGUGCAGCUCGGGUGCACCUGUACCGGGGAACCAUUCCCAGCUCCUUUCCCAAGC
rnacentral:lncRNA from 1 species